GGCUCAGGAUGAACGCUAGCUACAGGCUUAACACAUGCAAGUCGAGGGGAAACGAUUAUUUGGGAAGCUUGCUUCCGAUAGGCGUCGACCGGCGCACGGGUGAGUAACGCGUAUCCAACCUGCCCAUCACUUGGGGAUAACCUUGCGAAAGUAAGACUAAUACCCAAUGACGUCUCUAGAAGACAUCUGAAAGAGAUUUAAAGAUUUAUCGGUGAUGGAUGGGGAUGCGUCUGAUUAGCUUGUUGGCGGGGUAACGGCCCACCAAGGCGACGAUCAGUAGGGGUUCUGAGAGGAAGGUCCCCCACAUUGGAACUGAGACACGGUCCAAACUCCUACGGGAGGCAGCAGUGAGGAAUAUUGGUCAAUGGACGAGAGUCUGAACCAGCCAAGUAGCGUGCAGGAAGACGGCCCUAUGGGUUGUAAACUGCUUUUAUAAGGGAAUAAAGUGAGUCUCGUGAGACUUUUUGCAUGUACCUUAUGAAUAAGGACCGGCUAAUUCCGUG
rnacentral:rRNA from 1 species